GCACGCUUCAGCUUAACUUCUUUUUUUUCUAGAAAUAUUCUGAAUUAAUUUCAUUGAUCUUUUACCCAGUCUAUACUUGCUGUCAUUCUCGAUACAUUAAGGAGAAAACAACUAGGUAGAGAAGAAAAUGGUGGCAUCGUUUUCUAAAAGACUAUUUGGUCCGUAAUAAUUGUAGAAUGCCAAAAGCAAGGAAAGAGAAAACAAGAUACUAGCACUUCCUGACUUAUACACAGAAAGGGUAUUAUCCCGUAGAUAUUAUGGAGCAUACAAAAUGCUUGGCCUUCCUGACUCCUCUCGUUUAUAGUGCAUACAAGAUAAUUACCGAAGGUAGGAGCUACAUACCAGGCAACAGCGCAGGCAGGAAUACGGGCUUCUCCUCAGAAAUCAGAAGCAGCAAAUCGAAAGGUGCGUCAUACAUACCUUGCUUCACAUUUCUCUAGACGAGAUUCAAUGUUGCCACUUUUUGGGAGGGUUGUUGAACCUUGUAUUUGCGGACAUCAAUUUUUUUGGAUCUUAUAGAACCCACAAACACCAAAAUUGGAUUGAGGUUCUGAAAAGAUGAAUUCAGAAAAAUAAUGGAAGAAGGUAGAGAGAAAAAAACAAUGGAGUUGAACAUAUAUUAAAUGAUACCAGUAGAGGAUAGCCAUAAUAAAUAAAUUGAUCAGGAUAUGUUUAUUGGUUUUGGGUGUAGCAUAUGGAAUACUUAAAGCUUACAAUUUUCCUCUGAUUCCCAGCACCUUCAAUGUUUCCUGUUCUUCUGUUGCUUCUGUUGCCAUAUGUACUCCAAGCAGCAUCACUGAGAGCAUUCAGCAAUAGGACUGAUGUGGAUUCCUUGCUGGCAUUCAAGGCAAGCCUAAGAAAUCAGCAUGGUGUCCUAGCUGCAUGGAACACAAUGACUGACUACUGCCAGUGGCCAGGCGUCGGUUGCAGCCUUAAGCACAAGCACAGGGUCAUAGUGCUUAACCUCUCUUCGGAGGGCCUUGGUGGCACAAUCACACCUUCCAUUGGGAACCUCUCCUUCUUGAGAAUUCUAGACCUCAGCAAGAACAAUUUGCAAGGUGAAAUACCUUCCGCAAUUGGUCAUCUGUCUCGCCUACGAAAACUUGUUUUAUCCAAUAACUCACUUCAUGGUGAUAUAAACGCUGGAUUAAAGAAUUGCACCAGACUUGAAAGAAUCAACUUUCGCUCAAACCGUUUGACUGGAGAAAUUCCUGCUUGGCUCGGAGACUUGUCAAGUCUCAAGGUCAUAGGCCUGGCUGCAAACAACUUCACUGGAAUCAUCCCAUCAUCACUUACCAAUCUCUCAGCAUUGCAAAUUAUCUUUUUCCACACAAACAAACUCGAGGGUCCCAUCCCUGAGGGCUUUGGCAGGCUCCAUAGCCUUUUCUGGAUAGACCUAGGAGAAAAUCACCUCUCAGGCACCAUCCCUACAGCCCUCUUCAACCUUUCUUCUCUAACAACGUUCAGCGUGGCAGCAAAUGAUUUGGGCGGUAAACUACCCUCAGACUUUGGGGAUCACCUCCCAAAUCUUGAGCACCUACUCCUCGGUGCUAACCACUUUACAGGAAACCUUCCAGCUUCUCUUGUCAAUUCAACUGAGAUAUCUAAACUAGAUGUCACCAUCAACAACUUCACCGGAAAAUUGCCUUCAGAGAUUGGAAUGCUCUGCCCAGACACCCUCAGCCUUGGAAGAAAUCAGUUCAUGGCGACUACUAUGCAGGACUGGGAGUUUAUGACGUUGUUGACAAACUGCACACGCCUCCGUAUAUUCAACCUACAAUUGAACAUGCUAGGUGGUGUGCUGCCUAGCUCAGUUGCCAACCUAUCAGCACAACUCCAAGUAUUAUAUAUUGGUUACAAUGGGAUUUCUGGAAAGGUACCAUUUGGCAUAGGCAAUCUUGUUGGGCUAAAUGAAUUGCAACUAUCUAAUAAUCGAUUUACUGGUGCCUUGCCUGAUACCAUGGGAAGGUUAAAUUCACUACAAUACCUAGGCUUGGAAAAUAACCUACUAACAGGGAUCAUGCCAUCCUCCCUUGGGAACUUGACACAAGUACUAGGUAUGUACACACAUAACAACACGUUUGAGGGGCCUCUUCCAGCAAGCCUCGGGAGCCUACAAGAGGUAACUGUAGCAACCUUUUCAAACAAUAAGUUCACAGGUCCAUUGCCUAAAGAGAUCUUCAACCUAUCGUCACUGUCGGAGGCCCUGGAUUUGUCGGGCAAUUACUUUGUUGGUCCUCUUCCACCUGAAGUAGGCAGCUUGACAAAUCUUGCAGUCCUACACUUAUCACAGAACAACUUGUCAGGGCCCCUACCUGAUGCACUCAGCAAUUGCCAAAGCUUGACAGAACUCGGGUUGGACGACAACUCCUUUGGUAGUAGCAUUCCCUCAUCUAUCAGCAAAAUGCGAGGUCUGAUGAUGCUAAAUCUUACAAAGAACACACUUUCAGGUGUGAUUCCUCAAGAUUUAGGUCUAAUGGGUGGCCUUGAAGUGUUAUACCUAGCACACAACAACUUGUCUGGUCAUAUCCCAGAAAGUUUGGAAAACAUGGUAUCAUUGUACCAGUUAGACCUGUCCUUCAACCAUCUGGAUGGCAAAGUUCCAUCACGGGGAGUGUUCAGUAAUGCAUCUGAGUUUUUGUUUGGUGGGAAUUUGGGGCUUUGUGGUGGUAUAUCAGAGUUACAUUUGCCCCCAUGCCAACCAGAAUCCGCGGGACAUGGCUUGAGCAAACGUCAUUUGACUAUCAUUCUAGUUACCUCAAUUCCUGGCAUAAUUCUCGCUUUGAGUUUGAUACUUGUUUACUUCACAAUGAGAAAGAAAUCAAAAGCACGAUCUACAACCACAGAAGGAUUCCAGUUGAUGGAUGACAAUUAUCCCAGAGUAACUUAUGCUGAAUUGGUUCAAGGAACAAGUGGAUUCGCAGUAGACAAUUUGCUUGGCAGAGGAAGGUAUGGGUCGGUGUAUAAGUGUUGUUUGCUGCUAAAUAAUAUGAUGACCACAGUAGCUGUGAAGGUUUUUGAUCUUCAACAGUCCGGCUCUUCAAGAAGCUUUCUAGCUGAGUGUGAGGCACUUAGUAAGAUCCGCCAUCGUAAUUUGAUCAGUCUCAUAACAUGUUGCUCAAGCUCUGACUCGAACCAAAAUGAUUUCAAAGCCAUUGUUUUCGAGUUCAUGCCUAAUGGGAGCCUAGAUAGGUGGUUACACAUGGGUGUACAUGUAUCACAUCAACUCCAAGGCUUGACAUUGUUGCAGAGACUAAAUAUUGCAGUUGAUAUUGCUGAUGCACUAGAUUAUUUGCACAACAACUGUGAACCACCAAUAAUUCAUUGUGACUUGAAGCCAAGCAACAUUCUUCUCAAUGAGGAUUUAGUUGCUCAUGUUGGGGAUUUCGGCCUUGCAAAGAUUCUUCCUGAAUCAACAGUUGAGCAGCUGAUCAAUUCAAAGAGCUCAGUUGGAAUAAGGGGAACAGUUGGAUAUGUCGCUCCAGAAUAUGGCGAAGGUGGUCAAGUUUCUUCAUGUGGAGAUGUGUACAGCUUCGGAACUGUCAUCCUCGAGUUGUUUACAGGCAUGGCACCUACUCAUGACAUGUUUAAAGACGGGUUGACCCUGCAGAAACAUGCCCAGAAUGCAUUUACAGGGAUGCUAAUGCAGAUUGCUGAUCCAGUCCUACUGUCCACUGAAGAAGCCAAUGCUAAUAGUUUGCAGGAUGGAAGCAACACAAUGGAACAUGCCAUAUUCUCUGUCAUGAAGGUUGCGCUAUCAUGUAGCAAGCAUGCACCGACAGAGAGAAUGUGCAUCAGAGAUGCUGCUGCUGCGAUUCACAGGAUAAGAGAUGGCUAUGUUAAAGCAAGACAAAAUGAGAGGGUUGUUACAGCUGCAUUUACCGCAAGGCAUUUUGCCGAAACAUCCAGGGCAGCCCCUUGAACUGGCAUCACGCACUCACUCUUAAUGGCUUUGUAGUAGUUAUAUAUUGCACUCCUAUGGUUUUGAUAUGUUAGUUUCUGGCUGGCCAUGUUCUCAUAGCUUGUUGAUCUACCGUUUGCAGCCUGUCUGUCACUCUGCCUGCAACACUUAAUAUGGUUUGUAUAUGGGGAUGCCUACAUUGUGAACUGGUAAUAUCAUUUGUAUUGGCUACUGACUGUGCUAAAUACAGAUAUUACUGAAUUCCCUUCCGUCUAAAAGACAGGUAUAACUGCAUGAUAUAUGCACUAAUAACAUGACCGGACAAAUCUGUAUUUUGUUCCCAGGAGUGUAAGUGGUCACUAUAUGAUGGUUGAUUCUGUUCUAUUAGAAGAGAAAAAAGGAAACUCUUUUAGAUGGAGAAAGGAUAUCCGGUACUCACCAUACUCCAGGUGGUCAUUACAGCAGAAUGUCACAGGCAAUACUUGUCUCCAGUGUCUUCUAUCUGCUGUCCUUUAAAAAUGCAACUAUUUCCCCUGCUUUUUGGGAAGGGAACAGAGAGACAGUGUUAAGUAGGCAGCGAGGAAAUAACAACGCG
rnacentral:rRNA from 1 species